CUUCAGUGAUGAGACGAUGACGAGUCGGAACACACCCCGGACUGGUUCUGGUGGCUCCUGGUCCAGAUCCACGUUCUGUGGGUCCGCUUCAGGUCAUCAGAACACAGCGGGGCCUUUCUGCCUGAAGACACUGAGGCAUUUGUCUGAGAAGG
ensembl:snoRNA SNORD15 Small nucleolar RNA SNORD15